CGGGGCGUGGCUCAGUUUGGUAGAGCGCUUGAAUGGGGUUCAAGAGGUCACAGGUUCAAGUCCUGUCGCCCCGA
rnacentral:tRNA from 2 species